UCGCAUUCCGUUUCUAUCCGAUCCGUUUAUAUCAGUUUAUUUUGUCGAAAUUGUCACGAACUGUUUUCCGUAUUAACUUUUGGCGCUAUAUUUUAGCUUCGCACAUUUUCCUAUGUUCCAAGGCAUUCUGUCUUUCUACUCUUGCCAAAACUUACAGUCAUUACCAGUGUAAGUAAACAUAUAUGUAUUUUGUACAUUAUUUCUUUCAUAAUUCGGUAUUACCAUGGUUUCUAUAAACCUUUCGGUAUAUAACGGUGUAAUGUUUACAUUUUUCGGUUCACUUGACCUACAUUGUCAACCUAUACCUGUAUCGUAGUGUUUACAUAGUUUUUACAUUUGUACUUUAUUCUAAGUUUGUGUUUUGUUUUGUUUGCAGCUUUUACGAUAUUAAAUCGUUAUCUAUCUGUCUACGUUGUCUGAAUCAAUCGGGAGACAGAAUAGUAAAAGACUGAGACUACAACAGUAUGGCGGACGAGAAGGGAAACCUUGACCAUGUUGAAUCGCCCGAAGCACAGAACCCAGAGGAAUCUACCGCAGAGAGAGAAAAACGCAUAAGAACUCUUACCGAAAAAGGAAAAGAGCUGUAUGAGACUCAUUGUGUGCGGUUUGUUAAUGAAUUAGAGAAAUGCAAGGAUCAGUUAUCAAACGAACUCAUGACAAUCGCAAUUGUGAAAUCCAACCCAAAAGAAAUCAGGGAAGCAAUACAAAGAUUAGAGAUUGGAUGUGCAAAAUACGAACUCACUCAUAAAAACUAUGUGGCAUUGCUAGAAGGCUAUUCAACAGAACAGAGCCUUAGACAGAAAAACAUCCAAGUAAGUGAAUACCAAGAGGUAAACAUGAAGACACAGAGUGCACUAGAGGCAGCAAAAAAGCACUUGACACUCAUUGAUAAAGAUAAAGAAUCUCAAAAAACAUCAUCAUCCAAACGAAGUGCCAUAAAACUCAAACUGGCUGAAGAAACAGCAAGACUAAAGCUUAUUGAAGCCCAGUUGGCAGAAGAGGAAAAGAAGGCGAGUAUAGAGAGAAGACGUGCAGAGCUAAGUACCAUGUUUGAACUUAACAGAACAAAACAGGAAGUAGCUGAAGAGGAAUCCGAUGAUGACCUGAACUCACAAGAAGAUGACCCUCUUAAAGAUAUUCCCAAACUGUCAGGCGUUGAAAAGACAAGGAACUUUAUAGAAAAUGCAAAUUUUAAAUCCCUGCAGACAGAAACAAGUUUCAUGAAAAAUGAAAAAAUGCCUCCACAAGUGUUUAGUCAGCAAACACCUGACGUGCACGUCGACCAACUCAGGCAGCGACAACACACUCUAAGCCAUUUUCCGAGUUACCCAGUAUCUGCGCCCGCACCAUCAGCUGCACAUUAUCCAAAUCAACUGAGUGAAUUUCAUAAUUUUCUGUUAAAGAAAGACAUUACCAUGAAUAGAUUUAUGAAAUUUGAUGACAAUCCAACAAAUUAUUCAGUGUGGAAGGCUUCAUUCAAGAAUAUUGUAGAGAGCCUCAUUUUGACACCACAGGAGGAGACAGAUCUCCUGGUGAAGUGGUUAGGGCCUGACUCCUCAAGACAAGCUCUAAGUUUAAGAGCAGCAAACAUCCACAAUCCAAUUGUUGGGUUGCAACGCAUCUGGGCUAGACUUGACGAAAGAUAUGGCGCACCAGAGUUGAUAGAAAGUUCGAUCAGAAAAAAGUUAGCUUCCUUUCAGCGCAUCCAACUUCCUCGAGACGCUCGACACAUGUAUGAUCUGGUCGACAUCCUGUCAGAAAUACAGUGUCUGAAAGAAGACUCAAACUAUGCAGCCUUGCUUUCCUUCUAUGACACCUCUUCAGGCGUGAACCCUAUCAUAGCAAAGCUGCCUCAGUUUCUUCAGAACAAGUGGAUGGAUCGUGCGGCAAGAUACAAGAAAUCCAGAAGUGUAACAUUCCCACCUUUCACAGUGUUCAUAGACUUCGUCAGUGAGAUGGCAUCAACCUUAAAUGACCCUUGUUUCAUGUUUGAUUACAGAAAGGUCAAUGAAGAACCGAAACCAGUGCAGAAACAAAGACAAUGUUAUGUAACGACAAAAAAAACUGGUGUGAAACAGGACGAGAGAUCUGAAUACAAACAGAAAAUCUUGUGCCCAAUACACCCCAAGUCGCGAACUCAUGAGUUGAAGGACUGCAAAGAAUUUUUCAAGAGAUCCUUUGAUGAAAAGAAAGGACUGUUAAAAGAACAUAGAGCCUGCUUCAGAUGCUGCAGUUUAGAACAUUUAAGGACUGACUGUAAAACAUCUCUGAAAUGUUCGGAGUGCAAUAGUACUUCACACAUGACCGCCAUGCACAUGUCAAAGACACCCUUGGGAACAGAACCAGUGACACAGACAAAGACAGAGAGAGUUGAUGGCGGGGAGCAUCUUGAUGUCAUCCCAAUCAGCUCCAAAUGUACAGCUAUCUGCGGAAAAUCCUUCAAGGGACGCUCUUGUGCCAAGACUUUAGCUGUCAACAUCUACAAAACUGGGAAUCCUGAGAGGUCAACUAAAGUUUAUGCCAUGCUUGAUGAGCACUGCAACAGGUCGCUUAUCAGUCCUGAAGUGCUAGACACACUAGGAAUCCAUACAGCGGAAACACAGUACACAUUAACAUCCUGUUCAGGAAGCUACCAAACAGCCGGCAGAAUAGCUCAUAAUCUUACCAUCCAGUCACUAGACAAGGACUACAACUUAGAACUUCCUACGGUGAUUGAGUGCCCUGAAAUUCCAAAUGAUGUGACUGAAAUCCCGACGCCAGACGUUGCGCAGCAUUUUCCCCACCUACAGGGCAUUGCAAACAUGAUACCCCCAUAUGACCCAGAUGUGCCUAUAGGUCUUCUCAUUGGCAGAGACGUGACAGAAGCUCAUCACGUGCUGGAUCAGAUAAUAGGACCCAAAGAUACACCCUUUGCUCAAAGGCUUCAUCAUGGUUGGGUCAUCAUUGGAGAAGCCUGCUUAGAGAGAACUAGGACUCCCUUUAUGGUAAACAGCAAGAAAACCUCUGUCAGAAGAGAUGGACGUCCUUCUUUGUUUGAACCAUGCAGCAAAGGCAUUUCCGUAAAACGGCUGGAUGCUAACAAACCCCCAGACAAGGAUCAGAGAGUAGCCAGUUCUUACUCAGGCGACAAUCUCUUUCGUAAAGAAGAUGAUGAUAAUGAAGUCGGACUAUCGGUAGAGGAUAGACACUUCUUAGAAAUAAUGGAUAAAGAAAUGGUGAGAGGAGGAGAUGGAAAUUGGACGGCACCAUUGCCAUUUCGACCACACGCUCCCUUACCAAACAACAAAGAGUUAGCAGAACGCCGCGCUUACAUCUUAGAUAAGAGUCUCCAGAAGAAUAUUACAAAGAGAAAACACUUUGUCGAGUUCAUGAGCAAAGUGCUCGAAUCAGCAGCUGAAGUGGCUCCCGAACUAACUAAGGACAAAGAAGCAUGGUACUUGCCCCUCUUUGGAGUAUACCACCCAAAGAAACCAGAGAAGAUCAGAGGAGUGUUUGACUCAUCAGCUGAGUUCAACGGAAUGUCCCUGAACAAGAUUCUCACCACUGGACCUAACCUUACAAACAACUUACAGGGAAUACUGAUUCGAUUCAGGAAGGAGAAAUGUGCAAUAGUAGCAGACAUAGAACAGAUGUUCUAUUCCUUUCUAGUCAGGGAGGAUCACAGAGAUCAUUUGAGGUUCCUUUGGUAUAAGGACAAUGACGCAGAUGCCCCCCUAAUUGAGUACAGGAUGAAGGCUCAUGCGUUCGGGAAUUCACCCUCACCUGCCGUAGCUACAUACGGUCUUAGAAAAUGUGUUCAACAGACAGAUGUCUAUGGUGAUGAUGUAGCAGAAUUCGUGACCCACAAUUUCUACGUGGAUGACGGUCUCACCUCCUUAACUUCUGCGGAAGAGGCUAUCGAUCUCCUUAAAAGGACACAAACUGCUCUGAAAACUGAAGGUAAUCUACAUCUCCACAAAAUCGCCUCAAAUGACCCUGUAGUCAUGAGUGCCUUUCCCCGGGAAGAUUUGUGUAAGGAGAUGGUGUCACUCAACACGGAAAAGGAUACGCUUCCGGUUCACCAGAGCCUUGGUGUGUCUUGGGAUUUGCAUCUCGAUGCCUUCACCUUCCAGAUACAACUUGAAGAGAAGCCUGACACACGGCGAGGCUGUUUGUCCACUCUUAACAGCAUUUAUGAUCCUAUGGGGUUCGUCGCUCCAAUACUGCUUCCAGGAAAAAUUCUCCUCCGAGAGAUCACGAAAUCAUCAGACUGGGAUGAAACUUUGGAACCUGGAACAGCCGAAAGUUGGCGUAUGUGGAAAAACUCUUUAUCCUCGCUGGAAAAUGUAAUGGUCCCACGGAUGUACUUUAAAGAGUCUUUGAGCCACUUGGACUGGGUACAACUACAUGUAUUUUCAGACGCCUCUGAGUUAGCUGUGUCAGCCGUUGCGUAUCUCAGGUCUUGCUACAAAGGAGAAAUCAGUGUGUCCUUUAUUAUGGGAAAGGCAAAACUGGCUCCCUCCAAAGGCCACACAAUACCUCGCCUGGAGCUUUGCGCAGCUUUGUUGGCUACAGAAGUUGGAGAAUUCAUCAGGAAGAAUUUACAGACCACAUUAGAAGAGAUUCGAUACCAUACAGACAGCAAGGUUGUGUUGGGCUACCUUAACAACAAAACCAGACGCUUCUUCAACUAUGUCAGCAACCGCGUAGAGCGCAUAUUAUCAGUGACAGAGCCAAAGCAAUGGUUUUAUGUGUCGACAGUUGACAACCCAGCAGAUCAUGGUACAAGGGGCCUGAGAUCUGUUGGAGACCUCCAAGAAAAAUGGCUUAAGGGACCGUCUUUCUUGAUACACCCUGAACUCAGCGCUACACAGGAGUAUUCACUCGUGUCACCUGAAUUGGAUAAGGAGAUCAGAAUUGAAGUGAAGAAAACGACUUGUGCGUUGGAUGAGGAUUUCGCGGACAGAUGCAACAGAUUCAGUCGUUGGCACAAGUUAGUUAGUGUAAUAACUCUCAUAAAGGGACAUGCUAGACGUCGUUUCAAAAGGAAAGGAGGAAACGAACCAGUGAGGCUGAGGGAGGAGUCUGAAGAGGUCAUAAUCAAGAUCAUUCAGAAGCAAGCAUAUGGAGACGAAAUAGCUUCAUUGAGUACAAAGUCACCUGUCUCCAAAGCAAGUCCUCUGUGUCGUUUAUCUCCUGUCUUGGACGAAAAAGGGAUCCUGCGAGUUGGUGGGAGACUUUCUCAGAGCAGCCUACCAGUAGAACAGCGGAACCCAAUCAUUCUACCCGGAAAGUCCCAUCUAACCGUUCUACUUGUACGUCAUAUUCAUGAACUUGUGCACCACCAAGGCAGACUCAUUACCGAGGGCGCUCUUCGCAACCAUGGGUACUGGGUGACGGGCUCUAAGAGAGUUGUAUCUUCUCUUCUACACAAAUGUAUAGUGUGUCGAAAGCUCAGAGGAAACUUUGAAUACCAGAAGAUGGCAGACUUGCCCACGGAUCGCAUUGAGCCAGGGCCUCCAUUCACAUCUGUGGGAGUAGAUACGUUUGGCCCAUGGAUGGUUAUAUCAAGGAAAACUAGAGGGGGUAUGGCACACAACAAGAGGUGGGCUUUGCUUUUUACCUGCCUCACAACCAGAGCAGUUCAUAUAGAAGUAGUAGAAGAUAUGACUAGUUCUUCUGUAAUUAACGCAAUCCGUCGCCUCGUGGCCAUCAGAGGAGAGGUCAGAGAGUUUCGCUCUGACCGAGGUACCAACUUCGUUGGAGCCGCUGACGAGAUGAAGACAAAUGUAGUAAACAUUGAAGAUGAGCCAUUUAAAGACCACCUAGACCGCCAUGGGAUAACUUGGAUCUUCAACGCACCCCACUCCUCCCACAUGGGUGGAGUGUGGGAACGCAUGAUAGGCAUGGCAAGGAGGAUCUUGGACUCAAUGUUUCUUAGACAGCAACGUGAGAUCACCCACGAAGUCCUCGUUACACUGAUGGCAGAGGUCAGCGCCAUCAUUAACUCGAGACCCAUUACUGCUAUUUCAUAUGACUCAAACGCUCCCAUGAUUCUCAGUCCUUCGUUACUUCUCAAUCAGAGGACCACAGGAUGCCCCACUUUAUGUGAAGGUUUGGAUAUCAAGGACAUCUACAAGGCACAGUGGCGCCAUGUCCAAGUUUUAGCAAACACCUUCUGGAAACAGUGGAAGGAACAGUUUCUCCAGAGCCUGCAAUCUCGUCGCAAGUGGACUGAGGAAAGACCAAACAUCAAAAUAGGAGAUGUGAUUUUGCUGAAGGACUCGAGCUUACCCAGAUUUCAGUGGCCGGUUGGAACCGUAGAGAGUGUGUAUCCGUCUCAUAAUGAUAACCAUGUGCGUAAAGUGCAAGUUCGAAUUGUAAGAGAUGGUAAACCAGUAAUCCUCACCCGUCCUAUUACUGAACUGGUGCUGUUAAUAAACUGAACUACUACCAAAGAGACUUUAAUUUUUCACACUUCAAAGUACAUUGAUCUAUCUGUAUUUGUAUACAGUGCUAUUUUUUAUUGUCAGGUAGUUGUAUGAGAUUUUUAGACAUGCAAAUGAAACCAGUUUUGGGUAACUUCUAGUCAUUGUCAGUAUUACAGGUACUAUGUUAAGGGUUGUCGGAAAAAGGAUUUGUUAGGGUAUUUGAUGCAUUCAUUUUUUAGUGUGAAAGGUACACAGUAAGGUUUGUGAAAUUUGUUUUCUAGUUAUAAUUGUACAUCAUUUUUCAAACAAAUAGUAUGUUAGCAAUAUCUUGCAGAUAUCGGACGGGGAGUGUGGUGGAUCGCAUUCCGUUUCUAUCCGAUCCGUUUAUAUCAGUUUAUUUUGUCGAAAUUGUCACGAACUGUUUUCCGUAUUAACUUUUGGCGCUAUAUUUUAGCUUCGCACAUUUUCCUAUGUUCCAAGGCAUUCUGUCUUUCUACUCUUGCCAAAACUUACAGUCAUUACCAGUCUUUUACGAUAUUAAAUCGUUAUCUAUCUG